GACGAACGCUGGCGGCGUGCCUAAUACAUGCAAGUCGAGCGAAGUUUUUCUGGUGCUUGCACUAGAAAAACUUAGCGGCGAACGGGUGAGUAACACGUAAAGAACCUGCCUCAUAGACUGGGACAACUAUUGGAAACGAUAGCUAAUACCGGAUAACAGUAUUCCUCGCAUGAGAGAUAUUUAAAAGUUGGUUAUGCUAACACUAUGAGAUGGCUUUGCGGUGCAUUAGCUAGUUGGUGGGGUAAAGGCCCACCAAGGCGACGAUGCAUAGCCGACCUGAGAGGGUGAUCGGCCACACUGGGACUGAGACACGGCCCAGACUCCUACGGGAGGCAGCAGUAGGGAAUCUUCCGCAAUGGGCGAAAGCCUGACGGAGCAACGCCGCGUGAGUGAAGAAGGAUUUCGGUUCGUAAAGCUCUGUUGUUAGGGAAGAAUGGAUAUGUAGUAACUAUACAUGUAAGAGACGGUACCUAACCAGAAAGCCACGGCUAACUACGUG
rnacentral:rRNA from 1 species